CUUUCGUCAUGGAUGGUGGUUAGUAUAUUAACAUCCUUCCUGCCCUUAAAUUUUAUUGCAAGCGCUUCAGCUUUGCGCAGAGCUUUACAUUCACCUUUUUUUUAAUUUGGCCUCUAUGAGAGGUCUGGGGAAAUCCUUGGAAUUUCUUCUCACAGUGCCACAGGCCAGUGUCUGCAAACCAUAAAGAAUUUUAAACAAGUGGACACUGCUGAAAAAUUGUCCACAUAAAGGUAGUAACCUUUAUUGAACAAGGGGAUCAGUAGG